AUGAAGCAUAAGAAAUAUAGAGUAAAUCUUCGGAUUUCGGACAACCUGGUUGGUUUGGCACACUUGUUUGGGUUGAUUUUCCUUGUUAAUAAAUAUAAGAAUAAGAGUUUUAUUUCUCAAAUAUAUGUCUCACAGAAUCUGCAAUAUGCUUUGUCGUGCUUUCAUGUCGUGAUCUUUUCUCUGAUUUAA